rnacentral:lncRNA from 12 species
CCGGCAGGGUCACCUGCAGAAUGUCUGCAGCAGGAAGGAGUGUCCAUGUGCUCGCGCCCCCACAGGAGCAGCAUCUCAGAGUCAGGACUGGCCCUGGCUCCCGGGCCCCAGACGGUUCGGCCAGGUGCCGUCUUCGCUGGUGAAAACACCCCGUGCGGACCCAUCUUUGCGCUCCGAGGGCGUUGUCAGGAUGAAUUCGUAGACCUGGAAUGUCCUAUGCUUCCUUCGCUGGCCUGUUUCCGUCAUCCUCCCUGGGCCUCCGCGCCUCGGCUGCAGGCUCCAUCCCUCUCACGUCCAACCCCUCCCUCACGGCCUCCUGGGCCCCCGCUCCUCCGCGUUUCCAUGGCCAGGGCCAAGCCCUGACACGUCCCGGACACCUUGACCUUGCAGGACAGUGGCCUCCAUCUGCCCCAGCUCGUGUCGUCUCUGCGUCCCCACAUGGCUCAGCUGGGCGGACCUCUCGCGGGGUGACCCCCCCAUGGCUGGCCGGCUGCGCCUGGCAGGUCUGACCGCAGGUUUCCUCAUGUGGAAAAUGGGACGGACACCCGUCUGCAGCCUGGCGGGCUGGCGGGAGACGGCCUGCGUGAAAUUGCCAGCACGGUGUCUGGCACAUUCCAAGAAUUCCCGAAUUACAGCCACUGCUACCCUUGUCAUUAGCAAUAGUAGCGAGAGAUGUUCGUUAAAUGAGUAAAUGGAAGGACAGGUGGAAGAAUAGUGUCUGUGCAGAAAUUCCUGAAGGUCGGAAGAGCGCAAACAAAAGGAGCAAGUCAACAAACCCCCGGGAGCGGCCGGCCCGUGCUCCAAUUAAUUUAACUUCCAUUAGCAACUCGUAGAAACGUCUGUUGUUCAAAAGUGAACGUGUCCCCUAUUAACCCAUUAGAGGGUCCCUCACAAGCCUUUCUGUAGAUCCUUCAUCUUUUCUCUUCCCCGAAGAAAGAGGGGGAAGGCCAAGGCUUUGGGGGGGGCAGAUGUCAGGGAUUUCAGUCUUAAACAUAAGAAUUAGCAACUAUCCCAAAUUUUAAGUGGAGGAUGAACGUUAUCCAUAUGGAUUUAAGUUCAAAAAUCUGGACGCAUGAGCUUGGAUGGUUGAUUAAAUGAUGCCUGCCCGCAUUUUCCCAGGCCUCCCCGUCUGUGCACGCGGUAAGGUGGCCGAUGCAGACGCUCAUGUAAUGGUGCUCACGGGGCGGCCCCCGUCCCGCAGAAGGUGAUGGGCAUGUGCUAGGGCGCUGCAGGGCACGGCCCGCCCCCUCCUCUCACACCAGCAGCUCCGUGUUCCCUAUUCCCAUCCUGUUUCCGGAGCCCGGGGUCGGGCACAGAGGGCCCUGCGGUGGGAAUCACUUCCAGGGGAAGCUGCAGGAGUCGA